rnacentral:rRNA from 1 species
AUUGAACGCUGGCGGCAGGCCUAACACAUGCAAGUCGAACGGUAACAGGAAGCAGCUUGCUGCUUUGCUGACGAGUGGCGGACGGGUGAGUAAUGUCUGGGAAACUGCCCGAUGGAGGGGGAUAACUACUGGAAACGGUAGCUAAUACCGCAUAACGUCGCAAGACCAAAGAGGGGGACCUUAGGGCCUCUUGCCAUCGGAUGUGCCCAGAUGGGAUUAGCUAGUAGGUGGGGUAACGGCUCACCUAGGCGACGAUCCCUAGCUGGUCUGAGAGGAUGACCAGCCACACUGGAACUGAGACACGGUCCAGACUCCUACGGGAGGCAGCAGUGGGGAAUAUUGCACAAUGGGCGCAAGCCUGAU